rnacentral:rRNA from 1 species
UACGUAGGGGGCGAGCGUUGUCCGGAAUUAUUGGGCGUAAAGAGCGUGUAGGCGGUUCGGUAAGUCUGCCGUGAAAACCUGGGCUCAACCCCGGGCGUGCGGUGGAUACUGCCGGGCUAGAGGGUGGUAGAGGAGAGCGGAAUUCCUGGUGUAGCGGUGGAAUGCGCAGAUAUCAGGAAGAACACCCGUGGCGAAGGCAGCCUCCUGGGCCAGCACUGACGCUCAUGCACGAAAGCGUGGGGAGCAAACAGG